GCGACGGGUGAGUAACACGUGGAUAACCUACCUAUAAGACUGGGAUAACUUCGGGAAACCGGAGCUAAUACCGGAUAAGAUUUUGAACCGCAUGGUUCAAUAGUGAAAGACGGCCUUGCUGUCACUUAUAGAUGGAUCCGCGCCGUAUUAGCUAGUUGGUAAGGUAACGGCUUACCAAGGCAACGAUACGUAGCCGACCUGAGAGGGUGAUCGGCCACACUGGAACUGAGACACGGUCCAG
rnacentral:rRNA from 1 species